GACGAACGCUGGCGGCGUGCCUAAUACAUGCAAGUCGAGCGAAUCGAUGGGAGCUUGCUCCCUGAGAUUAGCGGCGGACGGGUGAGUAACACGUGGGUAACCUGCCUGUAAGACUGGGAUAACUUCGGGAAACCGGAGCUAAUACCGGAUACUUUCUUUUCUCGCAUGAGGGAAGAUGGAAAGAUGGUUCUGCUAUCACUUACAGAUGGACCCGCGGCGCAUUAGCUAGUUGGUGAGGUAACGGCUCACCAAGGCAACGAUGCGUAGCCGACCUGAGAGGGUGAUCGGCCACACUGGGACUGAGACACGGCCCAGACUCCUACGGGAGGCAGCAGUAGGGAAUCUUCCGCAAUGGACGAAAGUCUAACGGGGCAACGCCGCGUGAGCGAAGAAGGCCUUCGGGUCGUAGAGCUCUGUUGUUAGGGAAGAACAAGUACGAGAGUAACUGCUCGUACCUUGACGGUACCUAACCAGAAAGCCACGGCUAACUACGUGCCAGCCGCCGCCGUAAUAC
rnacentral:rRNA from 1 species